ensembl:lncRNA
GACCCAUUUCUCCCCCAAACAGAACUGAAUCCAGAGGCUUCCUGGGAGGUGAUAAUAUUGUUAGUGGGACCACUAUUUUUCUGUGGCUCAGGACACAAGAGUUAAUUACAAGUUUCCAUUAUGGUCUUCCUUAUGUUCCUGCCAGAGAGCGAACAGAUCUUUUUCCAUUAGCAAUUUCCCCUGAAAUUCCCCUGUUUUCCUGAUUCUGUUGAUAAGACAGAAUCACACAAUUCCAUCUGGUCCUACAUCUGCUUGUCCCCAUCUGUGUGUCCCUGAAGUGGGAAUAGUCUUGCUCUCUGCAGAGCUUUCUACGGCUGGCCCUGUAGAUGUGGCACAGGAGACCUCACCUUGGGUUGGCCUGCUUGGGUGUAAAAUUGUGAUCUCCAAAGAAUGUGCUGGAUUAUUCUAGUCAGAGUAGAUGAGAAUGGGAUUUGCUGAGGAACUUGUGCUGCCCACCUACAGAAAUGUGAAUUUGUUCAUUUCUCAUUGCCUCCUACGCUUGAGGACUCUUUGCUCUGUGCAUGGCAAGUACAAGAAAUAUGUGGACAAGAAUAUGAAUUUAUGAUUAAUGCAAGUGCUUGAAAAACAUGAUGCCUCAGUUGCAGAAAUGAGACUGGCCUCUGUGACCCUGGGCCUCUGAUUCAGGUAAUUCAUUAGUUUGGAAGCUAAGUCAAACUGGUUUAAAUAAUAGAAAGAAUUUGCUGGGGCACAUGCUGAAAGAUCAGAUAAUUA